rnacentral:rRNA from 1 species
GGUAGUGACAAUAAAUCACAAUGCGGAACAUUUGUUUUGCAAUUGGAUUGAGAACAACGCACAACACUUAUCGAUAAACAAUUGGAGGGCAAGUCUGGUGCCAGCAGCCGCGGUAAUUCCAGCUCCAAUAGCGUAUAUUAACGUUGUUGCAGUUAAAAAGCUCGUAGUUGAAGUGAAGUAUGAAACCUUAACGUUUUCAUUUGAAUUCGUUUUGGUUUGAUACUCUUUCCAAUUUGUGUGCAUGGGUAUUCAUUUAUCUGUGUAGGCAUUUGGUCAUUUACUGUGAGAAAAUUAGAGUGUUCAAAGCAUACGUUUGUUUGAAUACAUUAGCAUGGAAUAAUUCGAAAAGGCUUUCAUGUUCGAUUUGAUUGGUUUGUUCGUGAAGGCAAGAUUAAAUAGGGACAGUUGGGGGUAUUCAUAUUCAAUAGUCAGAGGUGAAAUUCUCGGAUUUAUGGAAGAUGAACAAGUGCGAAAGCAA